AGUAGCGGAACUUUUGCUUGGGAAUUUGUUUGGGGAGGGAAUGUUAUCGGUGGGACACUUCUACGGGCGCCAUGCGGUCACCUCAGUCUAUCUUGCGUUUGAGGCCGAUGAUGACGUGUGUGUUUUUCACUCCUCCCCUCAUUACACAGAGGAAGGGGUCCCCCGUUCCAAGAUGGCGGCUCUAUGGACGCAUACGUUCCAAUGAACGGCGUAGAUAUCUACGGGGUUUCCCCAUGUGCGCCAUGCGGUCGCCUCAGUGUUUUUCGCUCCUGCUCUCAUUAUACAGACGAGAUAUAUCGUGAUGCUAACUGUUUAGCAUUGUAUGUACUAGCGUGUGCCAGUGAGGGAGAAGCUGACGCUACGUGUCUCAACUGUUUUUUCCUUUUCUUACAGUAAAAAGUGCUGAAUAUCAUUGUGUGGUCUUAGAGUGAGCCGUCCAGACACAUUACAUUAAAAAUGGUGACGUGACCCAGAUGUGCCGGAUCUGCUGUAGCUGAUCGCUGGUGUUCGACAACACGAAAACACAACGCUUCUGCAACCGACCGAUGAAGGAUCUUGAAUGGCGUCUGGACAUCGAACUGAACUGAGUAACUGAACUAUCCUUUCACAUUACGCACCCAUUGUACGCUACACUUUGCACAUUGAAUCGUUCUUAGUUUUGUUUUUCUUUUUUUCUCAUGUCUGUUUAAGAAUACAGUAAUUGUGAAGUAGCCCAAAUUUUUCUUUUGUAUGUUGUUCUUCAUUAUGUAAAAUUCGCAAUAUGGCAGAAGGGAGAUGGAAUGACGAUUCAGUGACGCCACAAAUUGGCAGGGGGCAUGGGUUGUUUGGGGUAUCCGAGCCUGUAGUCGGCAAACCACGAAUCUUGGUCUAUGAUACUGUGACUGAUCCGAUCGUGCUUGCUAAUGAAUCGAGUGAACCAAAGUCUUCCACCUUUUCCAAUACUGGUCCUGACAACGUUACUCAGCAACUACACGACCUCAUUGGUGAGCUUGAAAGCUGGAUAGGUGACUCCGUUGUCACACGAUUGUUGACAAACCAGACAUCGCCUGGUUCCGUGCCAUCGUUUUAGAAGCAACCCUCUAACAGAUUUCCACUGUCUACGAGCCUUGAUCUGUCCAAAUUAAACCUCAUAGUCAAAGUUGACAUUAAAGAACCUCUAAUGUUCCAUCCUAGAGUGGAUUGAACAGAUGAAUGUGUAUUUGUCCAAAAAGGGUUGCGGCAAAGUCGACAGGGAAUCAGUCGAUACUGAACCAUCUCUGUGGCCGGGCAAAGAGCAUUGUCAAGGUUAAGCUAAAAAAAAAAUAGCCCAGUUGCUGUACUUAGCCCUGAAGUUGUCUCAAAGUACUGCAGCGCUACUUUAGUGAGAGCCCAGGCUCGUGGCAGCCGCUAGCCGAAGCCUAACGAGCACCCUGUUGACUAUUUUGUCAGGUUGAAUGUGGCGGCCGAACUAGCAGAUGCUUACCUGCAAAGAUGUGAUAGCAAGAUGAAAAAUAUGAGCUCUGAGAUUGCAAUGAUGUUUAUCAGGAACUGUCCCAAUCCUGAUCUUUUCAAUGUCUUUAGGUGUAAGCCCAUAAGGAAAUGGUCGGCUGAGCAGGUCCAAGAGGCUAUCGACAAGCACGAGAGAGACUUUAAGUCACGAAUGUCGCUUUCAUCUGCACCCAAAGUUGCAGUAAAUCAGGCUGUUGUUGCCGAAAAGCCCGUCAGCUUGCGGUUAGCAGUAGGAAACUAAAGUGUAGGUGUUUGGAUAUCAACGUAAACAGUGUCACAGGGCUAUUGGCCAGGGUGUGGGCCAGAACAGUGAAAGUCAGGGAAACUAGACCACUCACACUGGGGAGAGGGCUGUGUGAGUGUUGAGUCAGCCUCUCACCAGUGAAGAUGAUCCGAUUGUCAUCUAUAGCAACCCGUUGUCGGGGUGAGUCAAGUAACAGUGUCAUUUUGUUCCAAGACAUCGCUAAGCUGGAAAAAGCUGACAGUUUGUUUUAUACCGAUGUGUUGGUGAAUGUUACGGUCGCUUGCCAAGGCCUGUUAGACACUGGUUAUGGCAUAUACCAUUAAUGAAGAAAUUGAGCGCAAGCUGCUAGAUACAUGCGGGAUUCUUGUGUCUGCGCAACCCCAUGCCAACGUUUUACUUGUAGAGUGUGGUGGUGUUCGGGUCAAACGCAAGUGUAUUUGUAAGUGGAUUUUCAGUCAUUGUGCCUACCUUGGUUGUGCCAGCGCAAAAAGGCCAGUUGAUUGUUCGUACUAACGUCAAGUAUGUUCUCGGUCAACUCAAGCAGUCCCGAAGCUAUGACAUGGGCAUGACCGAUGGGAAGUUGGUGACUUCCCAAACAUUGUCGGUACCGCUAAGCUCAAGCUGUCAUGCUUUUACCCCAGCAUAUAACAAAAUAAGAGACGGAGGCUCAUCGUUUUGUCAUUAACUCUUUCUUUAUUCUUCACUCUUCUUCACCUGGAACUCCCAGAACACACUGCUCACCUGUGCGCAUGCCCACACGCCAUCUACGGCAAGCCCCAAGGGGAAAAUGUAUUGCACGCAGGUCACAAUGCAAAUGCACUCAGUAUAACACAAAAUGCAAUCGACUCCAACUUACAGAUUAAGUCUGUUACAUAUUUACUAUUUGUAUAUCUCAUUUUUGACAAACUGUCAAGUAGUACAAGUGCCUUUUAAUGAUUCUAAAUUGAAAACAACUCUUCCCUAGCUGUUGAUGGCCAAUGUGAUUGUUAGGAUUCCAAUUAUUUUGAUCACAAUCCCUGUUUUGGCCUGAAGAAGAAAUAUCUUGUUAGUUAACAUUUUUAACAUUUUACUGGCACACUUGCAUUUUCAAUCAUUAUAAAGAAAUGAAUGUUAUUCUGGCUGUGAGUCUGAUCUAAAAUGAGUCAGGACUCGUCGGACUGGGAUAGAAGGGAUGGCGACAAAACGGGAUUUUAUAUAAAUCAGGGAAAUAAUCAAUAUAAGACACUGUCCGGGAAGAGUCUGAGGAAUGUUUUCUCUGAGAAAUCCUCACUGUGCCAGAGCACAGGGUCAGCCAUGAUACAGUGCCCUUGGAAAAGAAAGGGUUAAGGACCUUGCUGAAGGGCCCAAAAAUGGCAGCUUGUCAGUGCUGGGGUUUGAACCCUGAUCCUCUGAUCAUCAACCCGGAGCCUUCAACACAAGUUUCCACUGUGCUGGGUUUUCACAUAUCCGAGCUUAUGAUCCAGCUGGGGUCAGUGUGGUCCCCUGGAGUAGGUGGGGCUAAGGGCCUUGCUAAGGCACCCAACAUCAAUAGCUUGGCAGUAAGUUCAGAGGCUUGAACCCCAACCUUUUGAUCAGUAACCCAGCUGCUUGACCGCUGAGCCACCAUGUCCCCAAAAACCACACACUAGUAAAUAAAUUUAUGGCAGUCAGUAAUGUCACUUACUUGCAGCCCAGGAACACAAUCUGUAACCACAGCCAGACUACCAACAGCAUAAUCACCAUGUAGAGAAAGGCGAACCCAAACCAGGAGCCAAAGUUCACAACCUCUGGGUUGUCUGGGAAGAGUCUGAGGAGAGAGACCUUUAGAUAUAAAGUUGCUUAGAGGACAUUAUUCAUCUCAACUGUUUUGGAACCUACUGGUUCAUUUGUCCUGUGAGGACCAGAUUGGGCCCAGUGCCUGUUAGUGUAGCAGUUCCACCGAUGCUAGCAGCAUAACACACACUCAGCAUCAUCAUGACCUCUCUGCUGUGGUUUUCCAAAGUCACUGAGCACAAACAAAAUGCACACGUCACUCAAAGCUCAUGCAAUUAAACCUGAAUAAAAUACUUUUAAUAAUUUCAUGAAAAGAGGUGUAGGAGUUUGACACUCACCCUCACUAAGAGACACUAUCCCUGACAGGUUGUCCUGAACGUCUUGACCCUGUCCACGUUUGCCUUGACCCUCUUCUGCUGAGUUUUGUUCGAAAAGGUUGCGGAUGUCCACAAGCAUUGCGCACAAUAAAAUGCACACGUCACUCAAAGCUCAUGCAAUUAAACCUGAAUAAAAUACUUUUAACAAUUUCAUGAAAAGAGGUGUAGGAGUUUGACACUCACCCUCACUAAGAGACACGUCUCCUCCCGCUGUGUUGAGUUGAUUCAGCACCACCUGCACUAUGGGCACCAUCAUGGCCGUAGUGGCAGUGUUACUUAUCCACAUGGACAGUAACGCUGUCAAGCUCAUGAAACCUAACAUCAGCCUGCACAGAGUUAGUUAACGUGUCACCAGACAGCAACAAUGAAUAAUCAGCACAGAGAAUGGCAGUACAAACAGCACAACACACCUAAAAGCGUUGCCUUGUACUUCAUUGCUGUUAUCUCUGCGAUAAUCACUUGGCUUUUUGAAGCUAAUCAUUAAGAUGUGUGCCAAAAAUGAUGAUGGGACUCACCAUGCAGGUCGCACCCCGACGCAGAGCAAAAAUUUUAUUGCGAGGAAUUUGUGCAGAUUCCAUUCCUCCACAGCGAUGGCUAACAUCAUGCCUCCUAAAAACAGCAUGUUUGUGUCCUGCAGGUACUGCAUGCAAACCUAACAUACACAUACAGGUUUGUAUAGUUAAGUAGGCUUUUAUUUACAAAAAUGGAAAAGUAUGUGUAUAAAUGUGACAAACCGUACAUCCUUAGAGGUCAUGAUACCAAACAGAGGAAAGAGCACAACCGGUAACAGAGCAGUGAUGGCCAAAGGCAGCACCUCGGUACACCAAUACACUGCCAUCAGCCCGAUGACAAAGGCACAACGAGCUUCCUGCAGUGUCUAAACAUUGUAAAGAUAAAAAAAAGAUGUUGCAAAGAUAUCAGAUUGAUGUUGAUAUCAAACCAAUUUUUGCUCUCUGAGAAAGCACCAAGUGUUUGUUCAUAAGCCGCUAAAAUUUUGAAGGUUUUCAACUGAAGGGAAAAAAACAUUUUACUCCUGACUCAUUUGUAUGUUUAUACUGAUUGAAAAAGUGCUAUACGUGUUACUGGUCUUUUAUUUGUGCCUUUGUAGAAUUAUUACAGAUGUAUACUCAAAUGGUCUAGAGCAGGUGUUACCCACAAAAUGAUAACAUUAAGCUGGAUAUUGUUUGUGUUUUUUCUUUUAUUUAUUUAUUCCCCUAGUGCAGAACUCACAAUGUAAACAUGUGUUGUUGCUGUAGUUUAAUUCUCAGGAUUUUUUUUUUUUUUUUUGCACAUUUGUGUGUAUACGUGUGUGUGUGUGUGUGUAUAUGUAUGUGUGUGUGGUCAAACUGCAAAACACAAACAACUCAAAUUUACUAAAGCAGUAUUGCCCACAUACCCAAAUGCAAUUUAGAACUAAAUGCAACAUAUAUUGCGUGAACAUCCCGACAAACAAUACAAACCAGCAAACGUCUAAACAUCAUCAAACAUAUGCACUAGCCGUUUAGGAGCUUCAGCGCUAAUUGCAAAUAGCGAACUAUAGAACAACUCAAAAAAUAUCAAUUCACUUAACAUAAAUCACUCACCACGCUGGGGAAUAUAUAGUUUUAUUAUUUUUUUAAACUAGAAAUUUUAUACUUGUUCUAACAAGGUUUAACAAAGUCUUUUCUGUGUCCUUUUCUCUCUCUCUCUAACUAACUUUUUUCCUCUAAGCAAUCCCAUGAGCGCACCGUACUAGCGUCCUUAAAGGGGCAGAACCCAACAGCAGGGGUACUCAAAUAUAAACUUGAAAGGUCCACUUACCAAAUUUCCAUUCAGUCCGAGGUCCAGAAAAGUGAUUGUCAAAAAAUAAUGUCUUGGUGAAAAUAUCUUCAUCUAAUUAUGUAUAAUGUUGUUUAUUAAUAUUGUUAUAAAUACUGGUUGUAUGUACUAUUGUUGCGUCCAAGGAUGUAUGUUUUUUGUUUGUUUUUUCCCCUUUCUCACUGUUUCUCUUUCCUGUUUUUCCUCUCUCUCUACUUCCCACAAGCAGGAAGUAAUAGUUACCACCUGACUCCAAUUGGUGAGCUGAUGCUGUGCUGUGAGGCUUCUUUUCCUCAACCCUAAAAGCUUUGAUUUAUAUUCGGUUGAUUGAAUUUCUCCCAAAGUGUUAGUGUUAACCAUCUUGUCAUUUUCUUUGUAAGUUAACAUAUACUUUUGUUAUUUCUUUAGCUAUUAAGUUUAUAUUAAUUCUUUGGGAAGGGAUUUGUAGAGAGGUGGGUGCCAUUUUCUUUCAUAUGUUUUCUCUUGUUUAAGCCAAUUAGGGAGUUAGUCUAUUAUUGUAAAUUUGUUUUCUUUUGUAGUUUAGUUAGUUUUUUUUUAAUAGUUAGAGGGUUUAUGUUUGUUAUUUUGGCCUUGCCCCCUCUUGGAGCCUUGAAAUCCUGUCAUAUUUGGACAAUAAAAGAACUUGUAUUUGGUA